GCCCCGUUGGCCUAGUGGUUACAUCGUCUGCCUCGAAUGCAGGAGGCGUGGGUUUGAUCCCCAACCGAGUCA